rnacentral:lncRNA from 1 species
AAUUUUCUGUAAGUACAGUGUUACAUAAUAGAUAUAGUUGUUAUUAACGAGAGACUUAUGACAUUUGUCAUUGUAUAUUAUGAGGAUCAUAAAAGACACGUUGCUAAAAGCAAAUUCCCAACAAUGAAGUGUCAUUACAAGCGUAUCGCUUGUCAAAUCCUUAUAAGAUUCAAGUACAUGAAUGAUUCCAAUGUAAUUCGAUCCAUGAAUACUUGAGAAAGCCUGAAGCUAAUUCAUGGAAUCAAUAGUCUAAAACUAGCUCAUAUAUACUCAUUCCGUUAUUGUUAACGUGAUCAAAACUGCCUCAAUGAGUACUAUGAUUGGACUACAAAAUCGAAUUCGAAUUAUGAUCAUUAUGUUGUUACAUAUCACUACCAGAAGAAAGGCUUUAGCCGACGAAAAAAAAAAACCAGGCCGACGAAGCAUUUUUUCGUCGGCUAAAGUCCACUUUAGCCGACGAAAUUUUCUUUCGUCGGCUAAGUUAAAUUUUCGUCGGCUAAAGAAUUUAUUUCGUCGGCUAAAGUUCACAAACUAUGGCCGACGAAAUAUUUAAAAGUUUAGCCGACGAAAUUAAUAUGUCGUCGGCUAAAGUGCUUUAUAUUUGCGGAUCUGGACAGCAGCAGCUCAUCUGGGAAAAAAAACGGGAGAUCGAAAAAGUUUGGGUGUUGUCGAAAUCUGUCCAUAAUUAGUUUGUGGAGCCAUAUAUAGGUACGUAUAUGUAUAUAUAUGUUGAUUAAUUGAGUUUUAUUUGAGUUGAUCGAUUUUAAGUGUGAUUGAGUUUAUUGAUUUUGAUUGUGAUUGAGUUGAUUAAUUUUGAGUACGUUGGAUGUAUAUAUAUAUAUAUAUAUGUUGAUCGAUUUGGUUGAUGAUUUGAAUUGAUAAUAUAUAUGAAUUAAUUUGUUAGUUAAUAAUAGUAGAUAUAUAUAUAUAUAUAUAUGUUAAUUAAUUUAUAAUUAUUAUUGCGUUGAUAUGGUAUGAAGUUGUUGAUGAUAUAUAUGAGUUCAUGAUGAUUUUGUGAUGAUGUUGAUAUAUAAUAUUGUUAUGAUCGAGUUAAUUGAUUUUUGAGUAUGUUGAAUGUAUAUAUAUACAUAUAUGUUAAUCGAUUUGGUUGCUGAUUUGAUAUAAUAUAUAUGAAGUUUUUUAUAAGUAGUAGAUAUAUAUAUAUGUUAAUUAAUUUAUAAUAUUGUGUUGAUGGUAUAUACCACAAUGAUGAUUUUGUGAUGAUGUAGAUAUAUAUAUGUAUAAUAUUGUUCUGUAAUUAUUAAGUAUAUAUAUAUAUGUGUGUUAAUUAAUUUGUUAUUAAUUAGUUGUAGUACGUAGAAUAUAUACUAAAUGAAUUGAGAUUUUAUAUAUGGCAUGAAAUUUCAUUAAUAAUUAGCUAGCAGCGUUAUAAAUAUAUAUAUAUUUUGUUAUAUUUUCAGGAUGUGGAUAAGAGUUGGAUUUCGCUUCCAAAAUGGGACAAAAGAUACGGUGCAGGAGUUAUGAGUUUUAUAGAAUAUGCGCUGGCUAAUGCUAACGGGAAUACAAUUUUCUAUUGCCCGUGCACGAAAUGUCAGUGUCGCAGCGAUAUGCAUCGAUUUCCCAUUGACAAAGUAUGACAGCACCUGAGGAGUAACGGGUUUUGGGAGAAGUACACAUGUUGGUUAUAUCACGGUGAAACAUCAUCAGGGGGUCCGCAUGAUCAUGGCCAAUUUUCUGAGACGGGUAGUACAUCCAACGAUCCAACAACGGCNNNN